rnacentral:tRNA from 1 species
GCAGUGGUGGCUCAGUGGUAGAAUUCUCCCCUUCCAUGUGGGAAGCCUGGGUUUGAUUCCCAGCCAAUGCA